GGAAAGAUGGCAGAGUGGUCGAUUGCGGCGGUCUUGAAAACCGUUGAACCGAGAGGUUCCCGGGGUUCGAAUCCCUGUCUCUCCGCAA
rnacentral:tRNA from 2 species